GAUGAACAGCAGCAUGGAAGUGUAAGCCGAAUAAACCCUUUCUUCCCCAACUUGCUUCUUGGUCAUGAUGUUUGUGCAGGAAUAGAAACCCUGACUAAGACAAAUUGGUACCAGCAGAGUGGGGUAUUCCUGUGACAACCUGACCAUGUUUUGGGGAGGUCUGUGGAAGGACUUUGGAACUUUGGUCUUGAAGAUCCAUUUGUUGUUAAGAGCUCUGUGGGAUGUUGUGUAGGAGCUUGGAAGAUAAUGUUGAGAACAGUGCAGAAGAUGGAGGCCUGGCUUGUGAAAUUUCAGAGGGAAAAUUAAAGACUCUUUUCAGGGCCAUUGCUGUUUUGAUUGUGAAGAUUCUGUAGUUCUGGUUAGCUGGGGCUGAAGAAUCAGCUGUGAUUAACAAGAUACCAGAACUACUGAAGCAAAAGCUUUGCAUUACUGGGACUAUUGAUGCUGGUUAGCUGGAGCUAAGAAAUUAGCGGUGAUUAAGAAGAGACCAGCAUCAUUGAGGUGACAUCUUCUGGGAAGUGUUUUCUGAGAGCACAGUGGCUGUGUUCCAGAUAUAGCCAAAGUUGUACCUUGUGCUGUGGCUGGACUUGGUAAUGUGUAAGAGUCACCCAGGUGGUACUGGUUUUGAAGGCAUGAAGGAGUUGAGCAGAACAGCUGAGGCUUGGCACUGUGAGAGGCCAUGGAAGGCCAUUGGUGAAAGUCCAGCCUCAUUUGCAAUUGAUGGCCCAGGACUGAAGGGGUCAUGUAGUGUUUUGGAGAUGCCAGUACCAUGAGAUGACCACCAAGAACAGCAGCAGCAGUGGAGUACAGGCAUCUGGAGCCUAGAGGAUGACGCGUGUGCUACAAAGGGCCUGGCUGGAGAAGUGACCCAAGCCCUUGGAGGAGCCCAGAAGAUUGUGAGUUGGAUCCCAGACAUUGGACAGUUGGAGAUUGACUUUUGCUUUUGAUUGUGACUGUGCCCUGAUAUUUUCCCUCUUGAAGGAAGAAACUG
rnacentral:lncRNA from 1 species